rnacentral:lncRNA from 1 species
UUUGAUGGCCUCAUAUUCUCCGCGUUCCGAAAAUAUGCGACUUCUUUAUUCUUCUAGUUGGAUCGGGCAAAACUGUCUUUGCGGUGGUGAAUAGCAUUCCCCGUCGUCCCCCCACCACCGAUAUGUUGACGGCGAAGGUUUGUCCUUCUGGUGUCCAAGGGUUCGAUCUUGUGGGUUUGAAUUCGGUAAGGGCCUAACUAUAUUUCUUUCUCCUUCAUUGUUGUGGGUUUAUGGGUUUCAUUUUCGACCGAUGCCUUCUCCAUCCUAUAAUUCGACGAAAAUUAUUCUUUCGGUGGUGAAUAUCGUUCCCGUCGUUCCCUACCGUUGAUAUGUUGAUGGCGAAGGUUUGUCCUUCUGGUGCACUAGGGUUUAAUCUCGCGGGUUUUAUCUUGGUAAGGGUAACUAUCUUUCGUUCUCCUACAUUCUUGUGGGUUUUGGGUUUCAUUAUUGUCCGAUGCCUUCUCCAUCCUUUAAUUCGACGAAAAUGAUUCUUCCGAUGGAUAAGCUUUUUGUACUGCUUGGAAUUAUGAAAAUUUGAAUCUUUUUCUGCCCAGAAAAGAACAUAGCGCCCUAAAGAGGGGUUUUCCAUAUCCUUUUAGGGUUUAGGGUUUGGUAUACCGUAUAUGAUAUGAUACGGGUUUGGUACAGCGUAUAUGAUAUGAUAUGAUACGGGUUUCAAAAUUCUGCACCCACAAGUCAUUGUGGCGAUAAUUGUGAAAGUAUGUCAAAAUGGGAUAUGUAGGUUAAAAUCUUGAAACAAUGAGCACUUAUGCAAUCUCUAUUACAGAACUGUGCUAAAGCAUGGUAAUUUUGUCUGCCUUUUUUUCCCAAUGACGUAAAAUAGGAAUGUUGAGAUACACAUUUCAUUUGGGGUGGUAUAAAUAAUUUUUCGUUGAAGAAAACCUCUGUUAUCUAUGUUCAGUUGGUCUUUAUGUCUUCAGAACCGUCCCUGAUCUUAUAAGCUAUCAAUUGGUUACAUAUUCUAAUCAAGCUUGCAUUCAUAUUAGGUCCUAGAAAGGGAACAUGCCUAGCUUGAUUUGCCUUUCUGCCUAUUCAUCUUGCUUAGUUUUGAAACUUUACAGUUUAAGGUCCUAAAAGCCUUUCUGCCUUUGUUGGAACAGUCCCUGAUCUUACAAGCAAUCAAUUGGUUAGAUUUCGAUUAAGCAUGCAUUUAUAUUAGGUCCUAGAAAGGGAGCAUGCCUAACUUGAUUUGCCUUUCUGCCUAUUCAUGUUGCUACAGUUCUAGAUCUUGACAGUUGAAGGUCCUAAAAGGGACUUUCAAUUGUCAUUUUGCCCUUCCACCUUUGUAGGAAUCGUCCCUAAUUUUAUUAGCUAUCAUUACUUAUAUUUCGAUUUUGCUUGCAUUCAUAUUAGGUCCUAGAAAGGAAAACAUGCCUAGCUUGAAUUGCCUUUUUGCUUGUUCAUGUUGCUGGAGUUUUGGAACUUGACAUUAGAAGGUCCUAGAAGGGACUUUUCAUAGUCAUUGAGACCUUCCUCUUUUGUCGGAAUCGUCCCUGAUAUUAUAAGUGAUCAAUUGGUUACGUAUUACGAUUAAGCUUGCAUUCAUAUUAGGUCCUAGAAAGGAAAACAUGCCUAGCUUGAAUUGCCUUUUUGCUUGUUCAUGUUGCUGGAGUUUUGGAACUUGACAUUAGAAGGUCCUAGAAGGGACUUUUCAUAGUCAUUGAGACCUUCCUCUUUUGUCGGAAUCGUCCCUGAUAUUAUAAGUGAUCAAUUGGUUACGUAUUACGAUUAAGCUUGCAUUCAUAUUAGGUCCUAGAAAGGAAAACAUGCCUAGCUUGAAUUGCCUUUUUGCUUGUUCAUGUUGCUGGAGUUUUGGAACUUGACAUUAGAAGGUCCUAGAAGGGACUUUUCAUAGUCAUUGAGACCUUCCUCUUUUGUCGGAAUCGUCCCUGAUAUUAUAAGUGAUCAAUUGGUUACGUAUUACGAUUAAGCUUGCAUUCAUAUUAGGUCCUAGAAAGGAAAACAUGCCUAGCUUGAAUUGCCUUUUUGCUUGUUCAUGUUGCUGGAGUUUUGGAACUUGACAUUAGAAGGUCCUAGAAGGGACUUUUCAUAGUCAUUGUGCCCUUCUGCCUUUGUUGGAAUUGUCACCGAUCUUAUAAGCGAUCAAUUGGUUACGUAUUCCGAUUAAUCUUGCAUUCAUAUUAGGUUCUAGAAAGGGAACAUCCCUAGCUUGAUUUGCCUCUGCCUAUUCAUAAUGCAUUCUGGGACUCGAUAGUUGGUCCUAUAUGGGACUUUUCAUUGUCAUACUGCCCUUCUGCCUUUGUUGGAAUCGUCCAUGAUAAUAUAAGAGACUAUUUGCUUACAUUCCGAUGAAGCUUGCAUUCAUAAUAGGUCCUAAAAAGGGAACAUGCCUAGCAUGAUUUGCCUUUCUGCCAUUCAUGUUGCUGCAAUUCUGGAACAUGACAGUUGAAGAUUUUAGAAGGGACAUUUCAUAGUCAUAUGGUCCCUUUUGCCUUUGUUAAAAAUUCAGGUUUUGGGAUGGUUCAAGUGAAAUGUGAAUAUUUAGUGGUGAGUAGACAUUGGAAAGGGGUCCUAGAAAGGAACUAUACAGACUGGUUGGACCUUCUACCUAUUCCAAUUAUGUCGAUUGAUGUCUUACAAUUUAUCUUUCAAGUGAAAGGGAGAAAGUGAGAUGUGUGAAGUGAACAUUUGAAGAUGGUCCCAGCAGGGAACCAUGCUGACUAGUCACGCUUCUGCCUCUUUUAACUGUCUUGUAAGAUCAUUUAUAUAAGUUUUUGUGCGCUGGCUUCAAGAACAUGAUAUUUUCUUCUAUGCUUCAGAGACUUCUCAUGAGUUGUUUGAAGUAGCUUAUAUAUUGAUGGGAAUUAAUCCCUUGAUCUUCUUUCCAAAUUGUUGGUAAUCUGAGGCUUUGUUGGUAUCUGAAGCUUGCUGCUGCAACGUUAGUACAUGUCUUCCAGAAUUUCUGUUAUAUUUUCAAAUUGCAUUCAAAUGGUGAUAUUUGUUGCAAGUUAUUCAGAGAAAAAACAGAUUAACCCUU